rnacentral:rRNA from 1 species
UUAAGCGACUAAGCGUACACGGUGGAUGCCCUGGCAGUCAGAGGCGAUGAAGGACGUGCUAAUCUGCGAUAAGCGUCGGUAAGGUGAUAUGAACCGUUAUAGCCGGCGAUUUCCGAAUGGGGAAACCCAGUGUGUUUCGACACACUAUCGUUAAGUGAAUACAUAGCUUAACGAAGCGAACCGGGGGAACUGAAACAUCUAAGUACCCCGAGGAAAAGAAAUCAACCGAGAUUCCCCCAGUAGCGGCGAGCGAACGGGGAGCAGCCCAGAGUCUGAAUCAGCAUGUGUGGUAGUGGAACGGUCUGGAAAGUCCGACGGUACAGGGUGAUAGUCCCGUACACAAAAUCGCAUGUGUUGUGAACUCGAAGAGUAGGGCGGGACACGUGGUAUCCUGUCUGAAUAUGGGGGGACCAUCCUCCAAGGCUAAAUACUCCUGACUGACCGAUAGUGAACCAGUACCGUGAGGGAAAGGCGAAAAGAACCCCGGCGAGGGGAGUGAAAAAGAACCUGAAACCGUGUACGUACAAGCAGUGGGAGCCCUGAUUUAUCAGGGUGACUGCGUACCUUUUGUAUAAUGGGUCAGCGACUUAUAUUCUGUAGCAAGGUUAACCGUAUAGGGGAGCCGAAGGGAAACCGAGUCUUAACUGGGCGUUAAGUUGCAGGGUAUAGACCCGAAACCCGGUGAUCUAGCCAUGGGCAGGUUGAAGGUUGGGUAACACUAACUGGAGGACCGAACCGACUAAUGUUGAAAAAUUAGCGGAUGACUUGUGGCUGGGGGUGAAAGGCCAAUCAAACCGGGAGAUAGCUGGUUCUCCCCGAAAGCUAUUUAGGUAGCGCCUCGUGAACUCAUCUUCGGGGGUAGAGCACUGUUUCGGCUAGGGGGUCAUCCCGACUUACCAACCCGAUGCAAACUACGAAUACCGAAGAAUGUUAUCACGGGAGACACACGGCGGGUGCUAACGUCCGUCGUGAAGAGGGAAACAACCCAGACCGCCAGCUAAGGUCCCAAAGUCACAGUUAAGUGGGAAACGAUGUGGGAAGGCACAGACAGCCAGGAUGUUGGCUUAGAAGCAGCCAUCAUUUAAAGAAAGCGUAAUAGCUCACUGGUCGAGUCGGCCUGCGCGGAAGAUGUAACGGGGCUAAACUGUGCACCGAAGCUGCGGCAGCGACACUAUGUGUUGUUGGGUAGGGGAGCGUUCUGUAAGCCGUUGAAGGUGUCCUGUGAGGGGUGCUGGAGGUAUCAGAAGUGCGAAUGCUGACAUAAGUAACGAUAAUGCGGGUGAAAAACCCGCACGCCGGAAGACCAAGGGUUCCUGUCCAACGUUAAUCGGGGCAGGGUGAGUCGACCCCUAAGGCGAGGCCGAAAGGCGUAGUCGAUGGGAAACAGGUUAAUAUUCCUGUACUUGGUGUUACUGCGAAGGGGGGACGGAGAAGGCUAUGUUAGCCGGGCGACGGUUGUCCCGGUUUAAGCAUGUAGGCGGAGAGUUUAGGUAAAUCCGGACUCUUAUUAAACGCUGAGGUGUGAUGACGAGGCACUACGGUGCUGAAGUAACAAAUGCCCUGCUUCCAGGAAAAGCCUCUAAGCAUCAGGUAACACGAAAUCGUACCCCAAACCGACACAGGUGGUCAGGUAGAGAAUACCAAGGCGCUUGAGAGAACUCGGGUGAAGGAACUAGGCAAAAUGGUGCCGUAACUUCGGGAGAAGGCACGCUGAUGGUAGGUGAAGCGACUUGCUCGUGGAGCUGAAAUCAGUCGAAGAUACCAGCUGGCUGCAACUGUUUAUUAAAAACACAGCACUGUGCAAACACGAAAGUGGACGUAUACGGUGUGACGCCUGCCCGGUGCCGGAAGGUUAAUUGAUGGGGUUAUCCGUAAGGAGAAGCUCUUGAUCGAAGCCCCGGUAAACGGCGGCCGUAACUAUAACGGUCCUAAGGUAGCGAAAUUCCUUGUC